GCUUAUGCUUGGUUCCAUAUGCUUGGUUUUAUGUAUUUCAAUAAUCAAUAGUAAUUUAUAUCUAUGUCUUCUAAACUGGCCCUGCUCUCUUUCAGCUAUUCUUCCAGCUUAGUAUUAUCUUUAUCUGCAAAAAUCUAGUAGCAAAAACUUCUUAACUGUGAUCACCAAAGAUGGCUUAUGCUGCUCUUCUUUCCCUUGCCCGAACCACUGCAAAAAUAAUCUUGGAUCAAGAUAGAUAUUCAAUUUCUUGUAAUAAAAAACAACAAAUUCGAUCUAUCUAUGAACCAUUUAUUUUCUUGCAGGAGUUUCUUGAUGAUUUUCCCAAGAAAGCCAACAUCUUGGAUGGGCGAAUAAGAGAUUUAGCAUAUGAAGCAGAACAUGUUAUUGAGUCUUUCAUAUUGGAGGAAGCUCCAUCACAUUGGUGGAAUGUUUUAGCGGCCAAAUCAAAGCUAAAAUGGCAAAUAAGAAAGAUAAGAGAAGAAACAGAUUCAAUCACAAGGGAGGUGAUGAUCAUCAAGAACAACAGUGCAGAUGCAGUGCAACUUGGUGCUUCUUCUUCCUCAGCAGCAGGUUCACCAUCCAGAUCUGCUCCGAUCAUCAAGAUUGGCUAUAUGGUUGGUUUACCUGAGGAUCUGCUAGCAAUAAAAUAUCGACUUUGUGGAGAAUCGCCCAAUUUACAAGUUAUCCCAAUCGUUGGAAUGGGAGGUAUAGGAAAAACUACUCUUGCAAAGUGUGUUUACGACGACCCACUAACAGUGCAGCAGUUUGAUAUUCGUGUUUGGGUCACAGUAUCACAGGACUACAAUGCAGAUGUAGUUUUAUCAGCCCUCCUAGCUUCCAUGGAAGAAUUUAACAAAGAAAGAUCUGAGCGGAGCAGUGAAUUAGUUGGGGAGAAAGUGUUCAAAAUCUUGAAACGUCGGAGGUAUCUCAUUGUAAUGGAUGAUGUUUGGAGUACAAAGGCUUGGGAUGAUGUAAGAAUUAUGCUUCCCGAUGAUGGUAAUAGAAGCCGAGUCAUGUUAACAACAAGAGAAACUGAUGUGGCUGUUUAUGCUGAUCAUUUAAGCGGUCUCCACAAGAUGCGUUUCAUGGAUGAGGCUCAAAGUUGGAAUCUACUUCAACGGAAGGUGUUUGCACAUCAAGAUUGCCCUCCGGAGUUGGAGAACAUUGGAAAGGAGAUCGCGAGAAGCUGCAAAGGGCUGCCCCUCGCAAUCGUGGUGGUUGCAGGGCUCCUAUCAGCUGUUAGCAACAAUGUAGCUUCAUGGAGCGAAAUUGCACGAAAUGUAAAUUCAGUUACUAUAGGAGGAGGACAAUUUGAAAAUAUAUUGUCUUUGAGCUACACUCACUUGCCUCAUUAUCUGAGGCCGUGUUUCUUGUACAUGGGAAUGUUUCCCGAGGAUUGUGAGGUCCGUGUCUCAAAACUCAUCAAAAUAUGGGUAGCUGAGGGAUUCCUGAGACGUCUGAACAGAUCUAAAACCUUAGAAGAAGAGGCGGAAGAUUUUUUGGAGGAUCUUGUCAAGAGAAAUCUUGUUUUGGUUACCAAGAGAAAGUGUGAUGGCAGGAUCAAAAGUUGCAGCCUCCAUGAUCUGAUGCGAGAUUUGUGCAUAAGAAAAGCGCAUGAAGAGAAGUUUCUUGUGAACUUCGGCAGCUGGCUUUCAGUAAAGGGCAGAAGAAAUCAGCGCCGUGUAAGUGUUACUCCUUCGAAUUCGGGUCCACCAUACUUUUGGAAAAUAUAUGGCUUAACCAUCCAUACGAUUUUGUGCUUCCAUGGCAUUUCUGUAGCAAACAAGUUGGAAGGUUUUAGACUGCUAAGGGUAUUGGAUGCAGGAGAUAUUUAUAUGAGAUCACUACCAUAUCAACUAUUUGACCUAUUUCAUCUAGCAUACCUUGCUAUCUACUAUCAUGGAAGGAUACCUGCAGCCAUUUCAAAGCUUCGUAAUCUUGAAACUUUAAUCCUUCGCGCAAAGGAUAAUUGGAGGAACUUUAGAUUGAAUUCAUUCUGUUUGCCACUGGAGAUUUGGAGGAUGCCAAGAUUGAGACAUCUUGUCUUCUAUUACAGGUUACCAAAUCCAGAAGGAAUAACAGCUUCUAGUCUAGAAAACCUCCAAACACUCUCUAUGGUGUCACAUGACAUGUGUAGUGAAAGGAUCUUGAGAAUGAUCCCAAACCUAAAGAAAUUGGAAAUUGACUGCUCUGAUUAUAGUCCAGGCGAAAUUUUCUUGAACAAUUUGGUGCAUUUGCGUCAACUUGAAGAUUUGAAGUUACGUUCAUCUUUUAGAACUGUGUUUUACCAUAAGGAUAACUUCACUUUUCCUAAGACGCUGAGAAAGUUGACAUUAAGCCGUGUGCCUCUUCCUUGGGAGGAGAUGACUGUUGUAGGCUCGUUGCCAAAUCUUCGAGUGCUUAAGCUGACUCAUUGGGCUUGCAAAGGCAGCACAUGGGAAACAAGUGAAGGAGAGUUUCCUAAGCUGGAAUUUCUGGUGAUAGAGAAGUCGUAUCUCGAGGAUUGGAUAGCUGAAAGUAGCCACUUCCCGAUGCUCAAAGGCCUGGUGCUCGACGAGUGCUGCCAGCUCGCUGAAAUCCCAGAAGAUAUCGGGGAAAUUCCAACACUCGAGCUGAUUGAGGUGAAGGGGAAAGCGCGAACGUCACUUGUGGAGUCGGCCGAGUGGAUUCGAGAGAAACAACAAGAGUGGGGAAAUGAUGCCCUUCAAGUUCGUUGCAUGGCUCAUCGAUGAUGUGCUCUUAUAACAUCCUUCUGUCGACACAAAAGAUUAAUUUUGUUGCAGAUCAGGUUCGUUUUAUGACUCGUUAGUCAUGAUACUCUUCUAAUGAGGUAACUCCAAAUUCCUUCGAACUAAAUUCUUUUAUAUAUAAAUAACAGGCAUAGGUGAUCUGUAUCAAACUAAGGGGGUAUUUUUUCAAUAAAGGAUCCUCAUUUUCCCCGUUAGUGACUCAAACCUCCGACCUAUUGAUUGGAGGAAAAACGUCAAAUUAAGGGGGUAUCUGGCUAAGCUUAUUUGAGAGAGAUGCUUUAACAAUUUAUUAUAAGAUGUAAUCUUUUAAUUAAGUGCUAAUAAAUUAUCAAAGUGUUUGAAUAAUUGAUUUUAUAAUUCAGUUGAAGAGAUAAUAGUGAGUUACAGAGAGAAAAUGCAGAGUAUGAAUUGAAGAGAAAUGAAAUUAGAAGGGAAUAUAUUGAAAAAAAAAACCAUAAUAAGAAUAUUUUUGUAAAAUGAUUGUUACUUAUAAGAAUAUAAAUAUAUAAAUUGGAUUGAAGAACUGUGUGUUCUGGAUAGGUUAAGCUAUUAAAGCUUUUUUUUUUUAACUUAUAAAAUUGUGUAAGAGUUUAUUUCACUUUUCAAGAGCUUAUAGUCUCAACAAAACACUCCCAAAUAUGAAGCAAACUCAGUAUAGGAACCAAAGACGAUCAAUUUAGCUUAUAUAUUCUAGAAAUAUACGGUUGAGAAUUAUAUUGGCUACUCGCCUCAUGAAGAUGUAUACUAGCAAAUAUGAAAGGUUAUGAAUGAUGGAUUGUGGAUUGAAGAAUCUGUUUUCCAUAUUUGUGGUGUUCACGACCCGAUAUGGUUUUCCAAAAAUGGUCAGCUUCUAUAUUAUUUUGAAAGCUACAAGGAUGAAGUAGUGGUGUUUGAUCGUGCCACUGGAAAAUCGAAGAAUUUCGGUAUCCAUUGUUAUUCAACUUGAUUACAAUUUUAUCCAUUUGCUAAGAGCUUUGUCCACUCAAUGGAGUUUCAGGUGUUGAGGCAAAUUCUUAUCCUCUGUGUGAAUAUGAUUGUUUCCAAAUCAAUAUUCUUAAGAGUUAGUCUCUGGUGCGACCAACCGCAUGGUAUGCGGUUGGUCCACCAUAACCCGCAUGAGCAUUGAUAUUACUAUAAAGUUUGGUAACUAAAAUUGAAAUAGUGGCGUGGUGUAAUGGCAAUACUAGUCCCUUGUAGAUGAUUUCAAUGGCAGGGGUUCGAAACCUUUUGCCUACAUUUUCUUUCUUCUUGUUUUUCCCCCUUUUUUCUUUCUCUUUU